CAGUCCACCAGAGCCCGGAUACCUUAGAAAUUCGGCUCUGGGUCUGUGGGGAGCGAAAUGCAACCCAAACUCCAUUUUGCCG
rnacentral:miRNA from 1 species